rnacentral:rRNA from 1 species
UACGGGGGGGGCAAGCGUUGUUCGGAAUUACUGGGCGUAAAGGGCUCGUAGGCGGCCAACUAAGUCCGACGUGAAAUCCCCAGGCUUAACCUGGGAACUGCGUCGGAUACUGGAUGGCUUGAAUCCGGGAGAGGGAUGCGGAAUUCCAGGUGUAGCGGUGAAAUGCGUAGAUAUCUGGAGGAACACCGGUGGCGAAGGCGGCAGCCUGGACCGGCAUUGACGCUGAUGAGCGAAAGCCAGGGGAGCAAACGGG